UCACUCCAGCCUGGGCGAGAGAGUAAGGCUCCGUCUUGAAAACAAAAACAAAAUGAAAAAGAGCUCAUGAUGCACACAAGUAAGUCUGAACUUCGUUUUGCAGAGGACGGGAGCCUCAGUUUCCCCAUAUGUGCAAAUGGAGAUAUGACCUUGCCAGGCUGUUGUGAUGGUUAUGAGAGACACUUGAUGUGCAAAGCACAAAAAGCAGGCACACAAGAAAGGCUGGCUCACCACUUCAUUCCAAGAUUUCUGGUCCACAGCUGAGCUGUUCCCUGGCCUGGGUUUAGUGACUGAGCACCGGGUGCCCACACCAAGGGCUUCCCACCCUGCUUUCACCCCUGCAGAGAACGUGUUUAGCCCACCUCGGUACCACUGCCUCCCGCCCCGCUGCAGAGCGCAGCCAGCAAAGCUGCGUAUUUUACAUUUUCAAUUCUCUUAUUUUAGAAAGUUUAACACCAAAUGGCAAAUGAAUGCAAAUUACACUUCAAUUGCACAAUUAAAGCCGGAAAUGUUGUCUACAGGUUCCUUCAGUAAUCCCAGCCACUCCUCUUGUGCUUAUGUAUCACGGUCCCCAGAGGCUGGCAAAAAGCCCACAGCCCUGCCUGGGACGACACUGAGUGUCCCUGUGCGCACAAACACACAGCAGCCCUCCAGUCCUUAAAUAAAGCAGGACCCGGGAACAGCAUCCCCAUCUUCCUUUAGCCUCCUAGACGUGAGGAGAAGGCGCCACCCAGAUGGAGGGCAAGGAACAGCUUGACGUGCGGCCUGGGGUGUCGGGAGACGGCUGACACCCGGCUUCUGUGCCCAUCCAGUCUAGCUGCUGAUUGCUCCCAGCUGCCAGCAAACCUGACUAAGACUAGGGGGUGACCUUGAGGCUCUGGAGCAACAAUCUUGAUGGGGACCUUGGUCAGGACUCUGCCUCUGCCUGGGGUGGGAAGAGAGGCGCUGGUGAGAGGAGGGCCCUGGGACCCAGCAACAGAGACCAAGGGGAGCUGCCCUUCAGUUGCACCUGGCUUUCAGCCCCUGUGCUGGGCCAGGGUUUUGGUGCUCUGGCUACCUGGAUACCCUGCAACCCUUGGUGUGUGGGCAGAAACCUGUCGACGAGGAUAAGGUGAUCUCAGUGGCCUGGCUGUCUGUGUGUCCCUCUCAAGAGCUGAAGACACACUGCCAGGCCACUCCUGCAUCAGCCUCUAGGAAAACAGACCUAGUCCUCCUUCCAGUGAGCAGGCUGGCUGGAGCCGGCAGUCCCGUCUCUGAGGAUGAGAAAAGGCCCAAAGAAAGCAGGAGGAAGCCACGCCAAUUAGUAUGCGCUACACAGCUUUUUUGCAAAAUGAAUAUAAAACACUUGUGCUUUCUUUUUGUGUGAAAGAAAGACGGGAGGAAAGAGAGGGAGGGAGGGAGGUUACAAGAAAGCAAUAUUCUGCAGGAGCAGGAGUGCCUGCCGUUACCAUGGCGACAGGCGGGGGUGGGGAAGGCCCAUCAGCUGGCCCCUGGUUUCGGCGUGGAGUGAGCUGGCCAUCAGUGGAGUGAAAGGGUCAGGGUGGUUGGCACCUGGAUGUGGGCAGAAUCUCACAGAGCAGCUCUCAGGAGGCCUCAGGGUGAGGGGAGAGGGCUCCUUGCCUUCCAUGGAGGUGAUUUUACACCAGCAAAGGGCAUAUUUCAACAUGGGAGGAGGGUCAGUGUCUGGGUGGGGCCAUCACAGGCUGUGGCCCCACUGCAUUCCAGCGGGAAAGCCUAGUCUCUCUGGGAUGGUGGCUGUUCCCCUCUUCUCUGACUGGUCCACCCAGGCACUCACUGUCCCAACACUUGGUCCCAGACCAGUCCUAAGAGACCUCAGCACGGGAGGCUCCCUGCUCCCACACUCCCCAGGGUGCUGCGGAUGCUUCUUUACAUCCUGGGAACAACUGGGUACUAGACACCAGCUUUGCACGUCAAGUGUCUAGGCCGGAAGGUCCCUUCUCACCUCCUACCAAGAUUCCUGAACAUAAAGUCCCAGGACGAGGCACUCAGCCUAAACUAAAGAAAUACUUGCUGACCUGCAGCGUUGGACAGGAAAUGGAAGACAGAUGGCUCUGAGCAGCUUCUGCCAAGGGGGAUGGAAGGAGAGGCCACCUACUUCACUCUACCCACUUAUCCUUAAGAGACUUUGUCAAAGGUUCACACAGGCCACUGGGCCGCUGAUGAGGUCCUAGAAGUCAACUGACUCAGCUCCUGAAGAGGGAACCCUUCUUGUGUUGACAGGAAAUCCCCAAGCUGGGCCCUCUCCAGGCCUGGCCAGGAAGAAGCUGCAAGAAUGUUUCCAAGGGACACGCUUGGUACUGGCAGGGAGAGGCGAAUUCAGGCUAAAGGCCUUGGAGGUUGAGGUCUUCCCAGUGCAGGCCACUGUCAAAGGCUAUCUGAUGCCUCUGCCCGGAACUGCCAGGUUGCAGGGCCUUGCCUGAGAUCGGGGUCAGGUCCAGCUGCUCCUUCUUGUGAAGCGGAGCUGGUGUUAAGUGCACAGGCCCUGAGGGCAGGCAUGGAUGGAAAACCUCGGGGUCUUCUGCUUCCUUCCACGCAGGAGCCUGGCCCCUUCCUUUGUGAGGGGUGCAGCCAGGCCUCUUUGGUCCCUGACCAUGUAUGGAAUGGCUCCAUCAGCCAGAGAGCUCACCCUAGGAAGCCGGGCUGCUGUGCCCAGGAAGAGUUCCUUGGGGGAGCCAAGGGAAGGACAGCAAGGCUCCCAUUGCUGAGAGCAUGGAAGAAGGCACUGGCACCAGCUGACACCAGGACCAGAGGCCUCCGCCCUGGACGGAAAGUAACCGCGAGCUGCAGAAGGCAGCAAUCGGGCUCGGGCCCUGGCCUGGGAAAGGGGUGGCCUUCUGAGAAAUGCCCCAGUCUGCAUGGGCUCACAGCAGCCCUGCCUUCUGCAACAAGGAAGGAGAGUGUUGCCUAAAAGAAGAACACUUAGAUCUGCUGGCGGGAAACCUGCACUACUUAGGCCUAGACCUAUUUUAUUUCCCACUGAGAAAACCACCCUGAUAGAAAAUGGUUUGUCUUGGUAAAGCAAAAAAAAAAACCUAAAAAAAAAAAUCAUAAAUCUUAGUGUUGUGUGACUUUGAACACAAGCCCUUGGGGAUGAGGACGGCAUUCUCUGUUUAAACAUUUUGCCACCUUUCCUUCAGUGCCCAGCCCUGUGCCACAUAUGCCAGCGGCUGUGCCUAACUUCCACUGAUGAAUAGUGACAGCACUGUGUGGCUCUGGCAGCUGAGGAUACUCUAGCGGCCAUUCCUCUUAGGGUAAAGGAGAAAAGGAAGGCCAGCCUCGGAUAAGACACGGUGGAGACCAGAUCCCUGACCUCUGCCUUCUCUCCCAUCCCCCAAGGUCUCCCCCUCCUUCCAGCUGAUUCCAGCCAUUGCUCACUUGCAUCAUCCUGGGCCCUGACCCAGAGCGUACGUUCUCAGGGUUAUAAAUUCUCCCCUUGAGCUGGGCAGGGAUGGGGCGGUGCCUGCUGCACUGAAGGCAGCAUGAGUGGUGCCACAUACCUGCCAUGGCUCUGUUACCAGGUGAUGAGCCCAGGGGCCAUGGCAGCCAGGAGAGGGCUCCUGCCUCCCUCCAGGGCCCUGCUUCAUUCUGGUUUACUUGCAAGCCACGCACAGCCCCUGAGCUAAGAUGCAGGCUCUACCCCAUAGGCCUAGCUUCCAAUCUGCUGUGGAAGGGCCCAGUGAAGCGGGGCGGGCCCUAGAUGUGGGGUACGCCCAAGGAGAUGAGCUCCUCUUCCAGCCAACCUCUUAUUUGUUCACUUUCUCAGAUAGAUGUUUCUGAGCAUUUACUGUGGGCUGGAUGGACCAUCCUCACAGAGCUCCCACCUAAUGGGCCAUCAUGGAGAGGGAUCGGAGACAUAAAGACAUAGACGGAACCCGGCGUAGCCUUGAUGUGCAGGAGGAGGGGGUGUGUGUGUGACAGACAGACAGACAGAUGGACAGAUAAACUAGGCUUCAUGGAGCACCUAAGUGAGAUCUGGCCCAAGUUAUUUAACUUCCCCCGUUUCCUCUUAGGGGAAAUGGGAAAAACAAUGGGACCUACCCAUGAAGGUUGUCUAAUUGUGAAGAUAAACUAAGAUCACUCACUGGGGCCAAGCACAGAGUCUGGAACAGAGCAGGCCAGUGUGAAAUGCUAGGUCUUGUUAGCAGUGGGGGGACAGGCCCAGUCCUCUGUAUCUCUGGGCUCGCCUGGGCUCACCCAGGCUCACUCAAGCUCCUGCCCAGUCUGCGGGCCUUGUGACUUGCUAACAGGGAGGUGCCUGGGAAAUCUGGCCAAGUCAGCCUUGGCCAUUUCCAGAGGAGGAAAAACCAACAAACGACUUGGAUGAAAUUUUGACUUCUGAGGACACCAGGAAUGCUAAGUGGGGUGAAAAACAGGGGCCCUGGCUUGGCUGCCACACCUAGGGCUGCGUAGAGAGGGCCCCAGAGCUGAGAGCUGGGGGCAUAUGGCCUGCAGUCUCCAAGCAAGAGCUCAUGCUGGUCCGCAUCUGUGCUCCCAAUGAGUGAUGUGCACCAAACCCACCAGGGAGCAUGUGAAAAACACCAGCCCCUGGGCACCCAGGCUCUGCUUGAGGGACAAUUGAGGAAGGCCGGGAAUAGGGCCCAAGCAGCUGGAUUUUAGAAGCUCCAGGGAAUUCUGGUGACAGCCCUGGUUUCAAUGGCUCUGCUGUGUGGCUUGAGAUGGGGCCGGAUAGUGCGCUCAGCCCUGCAGGCAACUCGCCCUACAGCUUGGCUCCAGGAAGAGUGAGCGAGAGGGCCCAACCCUGCCUCAGGGAAAGGCCAGCUACACUGGCUCCCCUUGGCAGGGUUCCUUCUACUGCCAGAGGCACAGCCUCUGGGAGAGCAGCCUACCUUUCUCCCACGGUUCUCAGUCCAACCUCUGCCUUCACCAGGAGCCAGGCGGUACCCUCCCAGCCCCCAAUCCACUCACAGCAGUUACUGUGCCCAGCUCUGGGUCCUCACUGGUCCAUCUGCCCAGGGCAAGGAAUGUGGAGGUGAAUACUCAAACCCUCCUGGCACAGAGCCCUGUCUUCUCUGGAGGGAGGUGGUGAGGCUGUCCGUAGUUACUGGGGUGUGCUCUGGGGUGGCUGCUGUGGGCACUGAAACCACAAGGUGGGAAAAUCUGGAAGAAUGAAGGGUGGGCAGAGGACUUCUUGGUGGAUACAGUUCUGGGACUGCUAUCUUGCCAUUCUCCUCGCUUCCCUAGCAACGAUUUGCUGUCAAGCCUCCUUUGAGAAGACCACAGUCCUCCCUGAAUCCCCAGUGGUGGCUGCUGGCACCUCUGCUGCGGGGCUGUCCCUGAGGAAGAAGACCCAGGACCGUGACUGGAGUCUAGAUGUUUCUCUGGCUGAUGGUGGCUCUUCUCCCUGGCUCAUGGCUCCUUCUCACUUGCUCUCAGAAGCCCCCAGAAAAAGGUGCAGGGACAGCCAUGGGGAGAGGUGAUAGAGGGCAGUGUCCCCUGCCCUCGGCAAGGCCCCAGGAGGAUGCCUUAGGAAGAGGGUCCCCGGGCCAUCAGCGCCCGCCCAGCACCUCUUCCCCUGCAGGCUGGGCUCUUGGCAGGAGGAGUCAAGCUCUCUGGGCACCAACACGGUACCCCUGUUCUCUGGGCUGCAGUUGUACCUUAGUGCGUGAUCUGAGUUUAAAGACAGCCACAGAAUUGAGGUGGGGGUGGAGGGGUGUUUUUGUUUUGGAGAGUGGAUGGAAUGAAAAUUGGAGGGAAGUGAACACUGAGGCACAAAUAGGAGGAAAAACAAGUCCCGUUCUUACGGAAGAAUGUCCGCUUCUAAGCGGUCAGCAUUAGUAUUCCAGGGAGCAGAGUCAGGACCACACAGAUUCAGGGCUGGAAGGGACCUCAGACCAUUCAGUCCAACCCCAGCACUCUGGGAAGAAAACUGAAGUGAGGUGGUGUUGUAUGACCUGCCUGGUCCUGUGGAGAGCAGGCAGAUGAGCCCUGGGACCCAGUUGGCUGACACACCAGACCAUGGUGACAAGGACUGCUUGGGAAGGAUAAGCCCAGGAUCAGGAAAGUAAAUUCAGGCUGCAGGACAGCUGCCUGGGUCCCCCCACAAGUCUGGCACCAGCCCAGGGAAAACCGAGGAGCCUCACUCCAUGGGGCAUGGUGAGCCACAGCACGCUCCCUUCCCCCAACCCAGCCUGGUCCAUUCUCUGCAGUGUGGGCAGGUCUGCUGAUUCACAAGCCGGCUGUCUCAUGGAGAUACAGCUCUGCCCGCAGCUCACAGUGCCUGGGAGCUCGGAAGAGGAAAGUGGGUUGAGGCUCGGCUUAGACCGUCAGCAUCUGACACGCAGCCUGAAGGGCGGGUAUGGACAGAGGAACGGGAUGCUGCCGUGCAAUGAGCAUGCCCGGCUGCAAAUCCUGCCGCUUGGCUGGGAGGCAGGGGAGCCCUGUAAAGGAACACCACGCAAUAGGCACGGCUGAGAAUGGUGUGCAGAAAGGCGUGUGUGACUGCAGAGACUCUUGCCCAGAGGACAGGAGGACCCAAGUGUCCCCUCCACCUCCCAGGCCAGCCUCUGCACUCUGGCUCUCAUGGAGGGUUCUCCUGCUGCCUGGGAUCUGGGUCAGCCUCUCCCUCUGCAGCAGCAGCUCUUGGUGGCCCCCAAAAGGCAAAGCUUAAGAGUCCAAUUUCAAACUAGAGAUCGCGAUGGAGUCCAGCUGAAAUGAGUAACACAACCAGCGCUAACUGAGCGCGCUGCAGGGGCCCGGCAUCGUGCUUAGCAUUUUAUGUGGAUCAUUUUGCUCUUACAUCCCCCGUGGUUACUACCCCCAUCGAUCAGACGAAAACUGAUGCUGAGAUGCGGAGAUACUAAAUGUCUUGCCUUUGGGCAGCCCGACCCCAAGACCAAGCUCCCCACCUGCCCUCUGCCACCUCCCUCACUGACACCCAGCCCCAGGUGCUUCAGAAGGGUCUCCAGUGAUUUUUUUUUUUUUUUUUGAGACAGGGUCUCACUUUGUUGCCUAAGCUGGAGUGCAACGGUACGAUCUUGGCUCACUGCAACCUCUGCCUCCGGGC